AUUGAACGCUGGCGGCGGGCCUAAUACAUGCAAGUCGAGCGAAUAAAUGAGGCUUUUUCUUGUAUUCCGUGGGGGACGGUUGGGUAAGUCCUAGGAAGCUGCCCGAUAUUGGGGAAUAAGGUCGGUAAAGGGGCCCUAAUACCACAUCGGUCCGCAUGUUGAAAGGGGUGGUUCUAUGGAGCUAGGCGGCUUUGCUGACCCUAGGUCGGAUUAGCUAGUUGGUGGGGUAAAGUCGUACCAAGGCGACGAACCGUAACUGGUCUGAGAGGAUGAUCAGUCACACUGGAACUGAGACACGGUCCAGACUCCUACGGGAGGCAGCAGUGGGGAAUCUUGGACAAUGGGCGAAAGCCUGAUCCAGCAAUGCCGCGUGUGUGAAGAAGGUCUUCGGAUUGUAAAGCACUUUAAGUUGGGAGGAAGGGAAGUAAGUUAAUACCUUGCUGUUUUGACGUUACCAACAGAAUAAGCAACGGCUAACUUCGUG
rnacentral:rRNA from 1 species